GCACCCAUAGCUCAGCUGGAUAGAGUGCUGGACUUCGAAUCCAGGCGUCGCAGGUUCAAAUCCUGUUGGGUGUACCA
rnacentral:tRNA from 1 species